rnacentral:misc_RNA from 1 species
CACAAAUGCUCCCAAGAGCGUCACGGACGUUACUUCACAACCGUUCCAUCCUUAAACAUAGCGCGGCUAUGCCCCUCUUUAACUCCACUACAAUCACCUGUCUGCGAUUCUCCAACUCGCGCCUGUGCAUGAGCUGUUGCCCUUGUCCCUUUAACUUGUUCGCCACUUCACCUCUCGACAGCGCCGUGACCGCCCGAACCCAUUAAAUAUCUUACACAUCGUAUCCGAACCUAACUCCGAACUAGAUGCUUGUAUACAUCUAUAAAUACACCCAAAAAAAAAACUCCACGGUAGCACGAUGAGCUUUCCGCGAAUGUCACUCAAUGCUCCUGAUUCAGUUCUACUUUUUCUGUAGCACUGUUAAAGCUCGAGCUGUUCUACUUCAGUUACACUCAAACAAAACUUUCAAUCGCCAUUUUUUUUCAGCUUCAGCAAUUCAAGAAUCUUGACUCUCGAAACUGAUACGAGCUGUAUGGAAUUCUGAGUUUUGAGCCAAUUUUUCCUUUUGGUUGAAUUUUUUUUGGCUGAUUUUCUUUGAAUUUAGGGUUAUUCACGUGGAGAUCUUGCGAGAUUACUUGUAGUUCAUCCAUUGCAGUUUCAGUGCUUAAUUUUGAGCUUAAUCAGACAGUAGUUAGCGACUAAUUUGCUGUAUUAGGAAAUUAAGGCGAGAUUAUAUACGUUAAGCUUGAUUUAUAGUGUUCCUUUAUGCUUUCCUUGGCAUUCUGUACUUUUAUUUACUUUUUUCCUCCCUUCUUUUUGGUUGGAAUUCGUACUACUUUGUAGGAGAGACCUGAAGUAAUGAUGAUUCUUCUUGCAGUUAAGAGCAGUGAUCACUUGUAAUUCUUUAAUCCGUUGCAAAACAGAAAUAUGGGGCAGAAUAAUUGGGAAGCUGAUAAGAUGCUUGAUGUAUAUAUUCAUGAUUAUCUGUUGAAGAGAAAAUUGCAUAAUUCUGCAAAAGCUUUUAUGACUGAAGGGAAGGUUGCCACAGAUCCAGUCGCCAUUGAUGCACCUGGAGGAUUUCUAUUUGAAUGGUGGUCUGUAUUUUGGGACAUAUUUAUUGCAAGGACAAAUGAGAAGCACUCAGAGGUUGCUGCAUCUUAUAUCGAGACUCAGUUCAUUAAAGCGCGGGAGCAGCAGCAGCAACAACAGCAGCAGCAAGCUCAACCACCACAGCAUCAACAGCAACCGCAACAGCAACAGCAACUGCAGAUGCAACAACUCCUACUGCAGAGGCAUGCUCAGCAGCAGCAGCAGCAACAGCAGCAGCAACAACAACAGCAGCAGCCACAGAUGCAGCAGAGGAAAAUGAUGAUGGGGCUUGGAACAGCAAUGGGAAUGGGAAAUAUGGGCAACAAUAUGGUUGGCCUAGGAGGCCUGGGCAAUACAAUGGGCAUUGGAGGUGCAAGGGGAAUAGGACCUGGAAUCUCUGGACCAAUGGCGCCUAUAUCGAGUAUGAACAAUGUUGGCCAAAACCCAUUGAAUCUGGGCCAAACUUCAAAUAUUAAUGCAAUAACUCAGCGUAUCCGUACUGGACAAAUGACUCCGGCACAAGCUGCUCUGCUGUCAUCAAGAUUUAUGGUACAGAGCAGAACUGGUAUGCUAGGGGGCCCUCAGUCAGGCAUAGCUGGGAUGUCAGGAGCCAGACAGAUGCACCCAGGUUCUACUGGGCUUUCCAUGCUGGGCCAGCCUUUGAACCGAGCUAAUACAAGUACAAUGCAGCGGAGUGCAAUGGGUCCACCAAAAUUGAUGUCAAGGACGAAUCUCUAUGUGAACCAACAGCAACAACAGCAACAGCAGCAACAACAACAAUUCCAGCAGCAA